UACGUAGGGGGCAAGCGUUGUCCGGAUUUAUUGGGCGUAAAGAGCGUGUAGGCGGUCUGUUGCGUCUGCUGUGAAAACCCGGGGCUUAACCCCUGGCUUGCAGUGGAUACGGACAGACUAGAGGUAGGUAGGGGAGAAUGGAAUUCCCGGUGUAGCGGUGAAAUGCGCAGAUAUCGGGAGGAACACCGGUGGCGAAGGCGGUUCUCUGGGCCUUACCUGACGCUGAGGAGCGAAAGCGUGGGGAGCGAACAGG
rnacentral:rRNA from 1 species